rnacentral:rRNA from 1 species
UACAGAGGUCUCAAGCGUUGUUCGGAUUCAUUGGGCGUAAAGGGUGCGUAGGUGGCGUCGUAAGUCAGGUGUGAAAUUUCGGAGCUUAACUCCGGAACUGCAUUUGAUACUGCGGUGCUUGAGGACUGGAGAGGAGACUGGAAUUUACGGUGUAGCAGUGAAAUGCGUAGAGAUCGUAAGGAAGACCAGUGGCGAAGGCGGGUCUCUGGACAGUUCCUGACACUGAGGCACGAAAGCGUGGGGAGCAAACAGG